ensembl:lncRNA
CCUUGAAACAGUGAGCUGUCUUUGUUCGAAAUACAGGUGAACGGCAAUCAUGUGAUUAACACACACACACAUAAAAAGCUUUUUAACAGCGCCCGCCCGGCCUCAGAGCCGCCCAGAGAGGAGCCGCCCUGGAUGGACAGAGGGACGGAGGGACGAGCAUCCAGUCGGUUGUGUCCGGCUGCCCGCAGCAGUCUCCGACACCUGCUGCGGCCCGCCCGCUGCCCGUCUGCCUGGCAUCCCUCGAUCCCGUGAAUUAAACAGAGCGGUUCGGAGAGGGCCAAGGAUACGUCUGAGGUCACCAGUGGGAAGCAGCAGCUUGGGUCCUUGAACCUGAAUCCUGACUUGAGGUCCAGCACCCAGCACCAGGCACCCCGGGACCUGGAGCAAUAUCACAGCAGGGACUGUGUCUUCGAGCUUGCAGUUAUUUAUUUGCUCAUUUAUUUGCCAUACCACGAGGCAUACAGGAUCUUCGUUCCCCGACCAGGGAUCGAACUCCCGCCCACUGCAGUAGAAGCACAGUCUUACCUCCUAGACCACCAGGGAAGUCCCAAGCCAUUUAUUUUUCUGGACCCUUCUACUCUCCCUCACGUUCCUCUUGGACCAAGGCAGAGAGAACACCAAGGGGAAACCAGGAAGGGUUCUGAUUGUUGUUGUUGUGGUUGUAAGAUCUGGUUCAACCUCUGGAAUUGGGGUGGGGGCGGGGCCGCUGGCGUGGUUGGGAGGAAUCAGGUUGUAGCUGUCAGGUGUGACCAGAAGCUGUGACCUGGUGAGCUGGCCACUGGGGAGGAGAUGACAGAGCACUGGCUUAAUAGCAAAGCUCUGGAGUAACUCUGGGCAUGCUUCACCUCCCUGUGCCUCAGUUUUCCCAUCUGUAAAGUGGGGAGAAUUAUAGCACCACUUCUGGAGGUCACUAUGAUCUACGAAAAGCACUUAGAACUCCUGGAAUGUAAUAAACAUUCCUUUAACAAACAUCUAUGGAACACCUACUUGGGAUCCUCAGAUUAAAUCAGGGAACUAUACCAAAAGCACAAACUCCAAUUGAGGGAAACAAACAAAGCCCCAAAUAAGUGACUUCUAUAUAGUUUGAUAAGGCGAAAGGGGUGUCACAAGUAGGGGGAAGGGUGGCCCAUAGCUUUAAGCAGGGCCAUUAAGGCGGGCCUCACUGAGUGAAGGCCUGAGGUUUCCGGGGUAGUUGAACAUAGGGGUCUCCGGAAAGAACAUUCCAGACAGAAGGAGCAGUCAGGGCACAGGUAAAUCAGAGGACAGGCAGAUUCCUGGCUGUGUUUGUUUUCCCUUUUUAAAAAUCACUGUGUUUUAACAUCUUUAUUGAGGUGUAGCUAACAUACAAUGGGCUUCCCAGGCUCAGAGGGUAAAGAAUCCACCUGUAAUUCGAAAGACCUGGGUUUGAUCCCUGGGUUGGAAAGAUCCCCUGGAGGAGGGCAUGGCAACCCACUCUGGUAUUCUUGCCUGGAGAAUCUCAUGGUCAGAGGAGCCUGGUGGUCUGCAGUCUAUGGGAUUGCAAAGAGUCAGACACGACUGAGCAACUAACGCUAACAUACAAUAAACUGCACGUGUUUAAAAUGUGCACGUUGGUGAGUUUUGACACAUCCGUAUACACGUGUGAAACCAUCACCACGGUCAAGAAAAUAGCAUACCUGGGGACUCGCCUUCCAACACAGCGGGCCUAGGUCCUGUCCCUGGUCAGCCUCACUGGGUCCACCUCCUGUCCUCUGGCUUACCUCAGCGGCUUCCUCACCGGCCCCCUGCUUCUGCCUGGCCCCUCAGGCCGGUCUCAGACCUCCUCACUCGCUGCUCCUGUCCCUCCAGUGCUCAGGCGCUCUCCCCACCUUAGGGCCUGUGCCCUACUCCUACUGCCCAGUAACUAAGCCGAGUGCUGCAGGGAUGAGCCCUCGUGCCGUGAAGACCUGAUGUAGCAAAAUAAAAUUUUGUCCUGGUCCUUUAAAGAAAGAAAAUAAUAUAUUCAUCACCCACAAAACUUCCUUUCUGUCCCUUGGUCAUCCUUUCCUCCAUUUCCACCCUAUCCCCAGGCAACCAUGAUCUGCUUCUGUCCCUGUAGAUUAAUUUGUAUUUUUAGAGUUGUAUGUAAAUGGAGUCAUAUACUCUUUUUUUUUUUUUUUUUGGCUUGGCUUCAUUCACUCAACUUAAUUGUUUUGAGUUUAUCCAUGUCACUGUGUGUAUCGACAGCUUAUCCUUUUUAUUACUGAAGAAUAUUCCAUUGUAUGUAUAGACCACAGUUUGUUUAUCCGUUCACCUGUUGAUGGACGUUUGAGCUGUUUCCAGAUUUUGUCUAUUACAAAUAAAGCUACUGUGAACAUUCAUGUAAAGUCCUUGUGUACAUGUGUUUCCAUUUCUAGUAGGUAAAUACUAGGAGUGGAAUGUCUGGGUUGUGUGCAAGGUGUAUAUUUAACUUUUUAAGAAACCAUCAAACCAUUUUCCAAGGUGGUUGUACCGUUUUACAUUCUCCCUGGCAGAGUAUGAGAGUUCGACUUCCUCCGCAGACUUGGUAUGGUCAGUCUUUUUUUUUUAAUUAAAAAAAUUUUUAAAGUUGGCUGCUCUGGGUCUUCAUUGCAAUGCACGUGGGGUUUCUCUAGUUGCAGACCACAGGCUCUAGCGUGCCUGGGCUCCAUAGCAGUGGCAUGAAGCUUAGUUGCCCUGAGGCACGUGGGAUCUUAGUUUCCUGACUUGCGUCCUCUGCAUUAGAUCAAACCUGUGUCCCCUGCCUUGGAAGGCAGAUUCUUAACCACUGGACCACCAGGGAAGUCCCUGGUCAGUUUUUUGAAAAAAUUAUUUAUUGGCCACGCCAGGUCUUAGUUGAGGCAUUUCAGAUCUAGUUCCUUGACCAAGAAUUGAACCUGGGCUCCCUGCACUGGGAGCAUGGGAGUCUUAGCUACUAGACCACCAAGGAGGGAAGUCCCCCUGGUCAGUUUUUCAAAUGAUAAUUUUAGCCAUCUAAUAAAUGUGUAGUGACUUUAAUUUGCAUUUCCCUAGUGAUGAAUCAUGAACUUCUUUUCAUGUACUUAUUUGCCAUCUGUAUAUCUUCUUUGGUGAAGUGUCUCUUCAAAUCUUUUGCCCAUUUAAAAAAUGGGGUUUAUUUUCUUUUUAUUGAGUUUGGAG